AAGGAUUUAAGUUAAAUAAACUUUCAACCUUCAAAGCUGAGAAUAAAGACCAAUUUCUUUAAGCCUUA
rnacentral:tRNA from 1 species